GACGAACGCUGGCGGCGUGCUUAACACAUGCAAGUCGAACGGAAAGGCCCUGCUUUUGUGGGGUGCUCGAGUGGCGAACGGGUGAGUAACACGUGAGUAACCUGCCCUUGACUUUGGGAUAACUUCAGGAAACUGGGGCUAAUACCGGAUAGGAGCUCCUGCUGCAUGGUGGGGGUUGGAAAGUUUCGGCGGUUGGGGAUGGACUCGCGGCUUAUCAGCUUGUUGGUGGGGUAGUGGCUUACCAAGGCUUUGACGGGUAGCCGGCCUGAGAGGGUGACCGGCCACAUUGGGACUGAGAUACGGCCAAGACUCCUACGGGAGGCAGCAGUGGGGAAUAUUGCACAAUGGGCGGAAGCCUGAUGCAGCAACGCUGCGUGCGGGAUGACGGCCUUCGGGUUGUAAACCGCUUUCGCCUGUGACGAAGCGUGAGUGACGGUAAUGGGUAAAGAAGCACCGGCUAACUACGUG
rnacentral:rRNA from 1 species